rnacentral:tRNA from 1 species
UGGUGGUCUAGUGGUUAAGAUUCUGCACUUUCACUGCUGUAGCCUGGGUUCAAUCCCUGGUCA